ACUGCUUCCAGCAGCACAGAAAUGCUGCUGCUGUCUUCCUCAACAAAGCACUUCUUAACUAGUUCGCUUAUUUCGCUGCUUAUUGUUUCCAAGGAAAGAGUAUGAGUUACUGUCGAAAGACCCCUGAUCCUCAAGCCUUACGCGGGAGGCUAAGUGUAGCGAUUCUCGUUGAAUCUCCACUUAUUUGUAAGUGAAUUAACUCAAAACAUGGAAUGAUGAAACUGACACCAAAGCAAGAAUAUCUGAAUCCCUAUUUAGCCCUCAGAUGCUGCUGUCCUGGCCCAGCCUGAUCACCUCUGAUGUCCAUGCGGUAUGAAAGUAUCAUCAUGGAAUCGGUGUAAGACUGAAACAUCACCAGACAGAAAUCAAGUUGCAGUUCUUUCAGACUUGAAAUGCAUGACCCGCAUCAUCUAUGUGCAAGAGAUACACUGGUAUCAUCUCUUUAAAAUGCUGUAUGGUAUGUGGCAACAAGAGAAAAAGGGAAGACAAAAGCUCUCGCCGCCAGCAGCUGAUCCGAGUGUCAGCACCCACCUCCCAAGUGGAAGAGGACACCAGAGAAAACUCCACACGCGUAAGAAGGAG
ensembl:lncRNA